CCUACGGGCGGCAGCAGUGGGGAAUAUUGCACAAUGGGGGAAACCCUGAUGCAGCGACGCCGCGUGAAGGAAGAAGUAUCUCGGUAUGUAAACUUCUAUCAGCAGGGAAGAAAAUGACGGUACCUGACUAAGAAGCCCCGUCUAACUACGUGCCAGCAGCCGCGGUAAUACGUCGGGGGCAGGCGUUAUCCGGAUUUACUGGGUGUAAAGGGGGCGUAGACGGGAGAGCAAGUGUGCUGGGAAAGGCGGGGGCUUAACCCCAGGACUGCAUUGGAAACUGGUUUUCUAGAGUGCCGGAGAGGUACGCGGAAUUCCUAGUGUAGCGGUGAAAUGCGUAGAUAUUAGGAGGAACACCAGUGGCGAAGGCGGCUUACUGGAGGGUAACUGACGUUGAGGCUCGAAAGCGUGGGUAGCAAACAGGAUUAGAUACCCUUGUAGUC
rnacentral:rRNA from 1 species